rnacentral:rRNA from 1 species
AGAUUGAACGCUGGCGGCAGGCCUAACACAUGCAAGUCGAGCGGUAGAGAGGUGCUUGCAUCUCUUGAGAGCGGCGGACGGGUGAGUAAUGCCUAGGAAUCUGCCUAGUGGUGGGGGAUAACGUUCGGAAACGGACGCUAAUACCGCAUACGUCCUACGGGAGAAAGCGGGGGACCUUCGGGCCUCGCGCCAUUAGAUGAGCCUAGGUCGGAGUAGCUAGGUUGGUGAGGUAAUGGCUCACCAAGGCGACGAUCCGUAACUGGUCUGAGAGGAUGAUCAGUCCACACUAGGAACUG